rnacentral:rRNA from 1 species
UACGUAGGGUGCGAGCGUUGUCCGGAUUUAUUGGGCGUAAAGAGCUUGUAGGCGGUUUGGCGCGUCUGCCGUGAAAAUUCGAGGCUCAACCUCGAACUUGCGGUGGGUACGGGCAGACUAGAGUGUGGUAGGGGAGACUGGAAUUCCUGGUGUAGCGGUGAAAUGCGCAGAUAUCAGGAGGAACACCGAUGGCGAAGGCAGGUCUCUGGGCCACUACUGACGCUGAGAAGCGAAAGCAUGGGGAGCGAACAGG